UACAGAGGUCUAAGCGUUGUUCGGAUUCAUUGGGCGUAAAGGGUGCGUAGGCGGCGCGGUAAGUCGGGUGUGAAAUCUCGGAGCUUAACUCCGAAACUGCAUUCGAUACUGCCGUGCUUGAGGACUGGAGAGGAGACUGGAAUUUACGGUGUAGCGGUGAAAUGCGUAGAUAUCGUAAGGAAGACCAGUGGCGAAGGCGGGUCUCUGGACAGUUCCUGACGCUGAGGCACGAAGGUCAGGGGAGCAAACGGG
rnacentral:rRNA from 1 species